GAUGAACGCUGGCGGCGUGCCUAAUACAUGCAAGUCGAGCGAACAGACGAGGAGCUUGCUCCUCUGACGUUAGCGGCGGACGGGUGAGUAACACGUGGAUAACCUACCUAUAAGACUGGGAUAACUUCGGGAAACCGGAGCUAAUACCGGAUAAUAUAUUGAACCGCAUGGUUCAAUAGUGAAAGACGGUUUUGCUGUCACUUAUAGAUGGAUCCGCGCCGCAUUAGCUAGUUGGUACGGUAACGGCUUACCAAGGCAACGAUGCGUAGCCGACCUGAGAGGGUGAUCGGCCACACUGGAACUGAGACACGGUCCAGACUCCUACGGGAGGCAGCAGUAGGGAAUCUUCCGCAAUGGGCGAAAGCCUGACGGAGCAACGCCGCGUGAGUGAUGAAGGUCUUCGGAUCGUAAAGCUCUGUUAUUAGGGAAGAACAAAUGUGUAAGUAACUAUGCACGUCUUGACGGUACCUAAUCAGAAAGCCACGGCUAACUACGUG
rnacentral:rRNA from 1 species